UAGGGAGACCUAAACCCAAAACCUUGAGGAUGCAACUAAGCCCAAGGAAUUGAGGUCAACCUAGGUCGGUCGGAGACUCGUCGAAGCUUUCAAACGAUUAAGAGGUUAGGAAACCCAACAACUCAAAGAGAUAAUCGACUUGAGGAGUUGGGAAAAGAGACCAACCUUGAAAUGGGCUAUUAGCUCAGGUGGUUAGAGCGCACCCCUGAUAAGGGUGAGGUCCCUGGUUCAAGUCCAGGAUGGCCCACCUAAAACUUAGUGCUGCGUUUAGCAGUCAUUGAGAAAAUGGGGGUAUAGCUCAGUUGGUAGAGCGCCUGCUUUGCAAGCAGGAUGUCAGCGGUUCGAGUCCGCUUACCUCCAUGCUGGUCUCGCCCCAAAGAAAUCCUAAAGCCAAAAAGCAAAGGACAACUCAGCACCUGAGAGAGACUCAGACUGCUGGGGAAUCCCAGCCAGAACCUUGAAAACUGCAUAGUCAACCUAAAAAAAGUCAGGUGAAGUCGAGACCUCAAAAAGAU
rnacentral:tRNA from 1 species